GACGAACGCUGGCGGCGUGCUUAACACAUGCAAGUCGAGCGGUAAGGCCCUUUCGGGGGUACACGAGCGGCGAACGGGUGAGUAACACGUGGGUGACCUGCCCUCAGCUCUGGGAUAAGCCUGGGAAACCGGGUCUAAUACCGGAUAUGACUCCAUGACGCAUGUUGUGGGGUGGAAAGCCUUGUGCGGCUGAGGAUGGGCCCGCGGCCUAUCAGCUUGUUGGUGGGGUGAUGGCCUACCAAGGCGACGACGGGUAGCCGGCCUGAGAGGGCGACCGGCCACACUGGGACUGAGACACGGCCCAGACUCCUACGGGAGGCAGCAGUGGGGAAUCUUGCGCAAUGGGCGAAAGCCUGACGCAGCGACGCCGCGUGAGGGAUGACGGCUUUC
rnacentral:rRNA from 1 species